AAAAGCUCGUAGUUGAAUUUCUGCCGCAUCGCGGCGGCCCUCCCGGGCCCAGCGUUGCGGCUUAUUUCGGACUCGCUUGCGUCUCCGAAUGUUUACUUUGAGAAAAUUAGAGUGCUCAAAGCAGGCCCUUGCCUUGAAUACUUUAGCAUGGAAUAAUAAAGUAGGACUUUGGUUCUAUUUUGUUGGUUUAGCGCCAAAGUAAUGGUUAAUAGGAACAGUUGGGGGCAUUCGUAUUUAACUGUCAGAGGUGAAAUUCUUAGAUUUGUUAAAGACAAACUACUGCG
rnacentral:rRNA from 1 species